CGGACGUGGAUAACCUGCCUCACACAGGGGGAUAACAGUUGGAAACGGCUGCUAAUACCGCAUAAGCGCACAGCACCGCAUGGUGCAGUGUGAAAAACUCCGGUGGUGUGAGAUGGAUCCGCGUCUGAUUAGCUUGUUGGCGGGGUAACGGCCCACCAAGGCGACGAUCAGUAGCCGGCCUGAGAGGGCGACCGGCCACAUUGGGACUGAGACACGGCCCAG
rnacentral:rRNA from 1 species